rnacentral:lncRNA from 1 species
AUACAUAAGUUUAAAUGUUCCCGAGCUCGGUGUGAGGAUCGAUGGAGGAGCUUGAGAUAACUAUAGUUGGCUGCUCCGACUCCACUAACGGUGGUGGAAUUGGUAUGACUUAGAUAAAAAUGGAUGCAAUCACAACCUUUGAGGGUGGAGCAGCUUUGGAGCUCUCUUCGAUAGUCUUGGCAAUAGAAGCUCCAUCUUCUGCAAUUCCUUCCUUGGCUCCUCCUUCUUCCUCUUCCUCUCCUAUCUUAUCCAAGAAGCUCAAGUCUA